AAACCAACAGGGAUUGCCUCAGUAACGGCGAGUGAAGCGGCAAAAGCUCAAAUUUGAAAUCUAGCACCUUCGGUGUUCGAGUUGUAAUUUGAAGAUGGUAACCUUGGGUUUGGCUCUUGUCUAUGUUCCUUGGAACAGGACGUCAUAGAGGGUGAGAAUCCCGUCUGAUGAGAUGCCCAUUCCUAUGUAAGGUGCUAUCGAAGAGUCGAGUUGUUUGGGAAUGCAGCUCUAAGUGGGUGGUAAAUUCCAUCUAAAGCUAAAUAUUGGCGAGAGACCGAUAGCGAACAAGUACAGUGAUGGAAAGAUGAAAAGAACUUUGAAAAGAGAGUGAAAAAGUACGUGAAAUUGUUGAAAGGGAAGGGCAUUAGAUCAGACUUGGUGUUUUACGAUUAUCUUCUCUUCUUGAGUUGUGCACUCGUAUUUCACUGGGCCAGCAUCGAUUCGGAUGGCAAGAUAAUGGCAGUUGAAUGUGGCUUCACUUCGGUGGAGUGUUAUAGCUUCUGCUGAUAUUGCCUGUCUGGAUCGAGGGCUGCGUCUUUUGA
rnacentral:rRNA from 1 species